UCUCUCUCCACUCGUGGAGACAGACCCGUUUUAUUCUACACUAAAGCGCUGCUCUUGUGAAACUGCUCCCUGCCUGAGGUCACUCCAUCGUAUUGGCCUGGCUGGUGACUUUUUUCCCCAAGAAAGGAGUCAGAGGACCAGGAUAAUAGUCUGGACCUGACACUUUGGUGUGUCUGGUCAUUCUUUGGCCAAGAGCACACCAAGAACUGAGGGCAGACUCCCACCCUGGCGUCUUUUUGGUGCCAAAACCCAGGAUUCGAACAGGACCGUCUAGUUGCAGGAAGAUAAGCUCAGGGCUCCCACUGAUUCUGCAUAAUGGGACACUGAUAAGUCAAUAUCCACCUAAGACAUCUCUCCAGCCUCAUACAGGAACCAGCUGGGGGCUUGAUUCAAGCAUGAGGAUAAACGAUAUCACCAAAAAUAAGCCCCUCCCAGUGACCAACCACAGGCAUUAUUUCAUUAAUCUUCAACUCCUAAAAAUCCCGCCAGGUGACCUGCCAAGAUCAGAAUUAACAUCUUCAGUCUCUGAGAACACCCACUGCUCCCCAGAAGAUGGGGCACACACAGACACGGGACCACCACCAGAGAACCUGUCCAGUGUCAAGAAAUAAAAAUGAUACAUCCCCAUUUCCUGUAAGUUCAAGGGUUAGUCCAUUAAGAAACCACGUGGAAGAAUGGGGGUUGCAUUCCAGAUCCUCAAGGUAAGUUAACCUGUGGAAUUCUACCUUUUACAUAAAAAUCGGUAGGUAAAUUGGGUUAUCCGGCAGUUUAUCACAGAGUCGUGCAGUUUCACUGGUGGUGGAGGAGGUUUUUCUAAACCUGUUUUCAAAGGGAAGGAAAAAGGGAAACAUUCGACUGGGCACCUAAAAAUGAAAUGUAACUGCCAAGCUGCCCUAUGUCCAAAGGAGCUCACAGCCCCUGGGAGUUGGAAUAUUGUGUCUCAACGUGAAGAACAAAUGGACAAAGGUAGGAAGUCACAAAUACAAUUUAUAAAAGAUUAUCUCUUCUAUUUGCUCCCUAUUUUUGCCCCCUUUAAGACUCAACUAUCUUGGGGUGAAUUAGGCUGCCAUGAAAGUUCUGAAGGGGACCCUCCCCCAAAACAGCCCCACCUCUUCACCACCCAGGAAACGGGGCCUGGCAGUUGGGGUAAAGUCCACUCGUGGCCUUUAGACUGAACUGUGCCUGGGAUAACACCUGUUUGGAACACCUUCUUUAAAACUCCGAAAUCUGCUUCAUACCAACACACCAGCCAGCAAAACCAUUCCUCAAAGUCGUGCUGAAAAGACUUCCUGACUGCAUGGAACCAGCUAUGGAGCCAGGAGUGACAGCGAGGCACAGGCCAUGGAAAUUGCAGAACUCACUUGGAACAGGGGCUGAUCACAGUUGGCGUAGGUGCAGAAGUUUGGCCCAUUGAAUAGAACACUGCAUUUCCUACGACUGUCUUAGACCACUACCCAGUCUCCUUGUACCCACUAAAGUCAUGAAAAAACCACGUUUAAUAAGAUCUCUGCCAUUAGAACGCUAGCAAACUCUUACCAACUGUUUUUCCCCCUGCGGAAGAACAGAACACCAAGUUUCAUCAGGAUUUUUUUCUAAUCAACAAAAGGUGCUCCAGCUGCAGCCAACAAGCUCCGCCUGCCCUUUGUUAGCCCAGCUCCUGACAGAAGAUGAUCAUCCUAACGGUAGCAUUUGCUUGCUAAUUACAUUAAGCCUUUGCUUUCUGGAUUGAGGGACGUAUGCUAAACUGAGAAGAGCUGCAUUUGGUCCACGGGCCCCUGAUGGAUGGAGCGUGGCUCAGGUCUCUGCUAGAUCAGAGUUGUGGCCUCAGAUCACCGUGCCUCCUCCUAAGUGUUUGGCAAAACUUCAACCAAGGAAAAAACUGCUAAUGAAGUUUCUUUUCAAAUCUCUGCCUGAGUUUAGUGUUUUUCCCCAUAUUACAAGCUGAUAUGUCCCCUUUUAAUGCUCUUUUUGUUUUUUUUUGGUGUUCUUUUUAUUCCACACACAUCGAUCCUCUUUGGCAUUCUUCUUGCACCUUCCUGAGGCUAUUUGAGUCCUUUUCCUCCUGCAUUCCCUGCAGUAGGACAGCCCAUCUCCCUCUUCCGCAGUCUGCCCUUCCUCCUUCCUGCAUGUUCACCUGCUGAAGCUCGGGGGUCUCAGAUUUUCCAGAGGCCCCGAGGGAGGUUCCUUCCCCAAGCAUCCAGUAUAUGCUGGGAUGAGAGGCCAGGUAGAAACGUUGGGAGGAUUCCACCUGGCAGUGUGAGGCUCUCCCAGGCACAAAAUAAACAUCCCAGGCUAGCAAGUGAACCUGGCUCACGUGGCAUUUAUUAACAUGUAGGAGAAACUGCUCCAGGGAGGAUGCAGGAAGCUGAGUUACCGACUAGGAAGGGCUUUGCUCUUGGUUCUAAAAGAGCAAACAGCAGCGAAGUAAAAGACUGUUUUAUAUCAGUGUUCUUUAAAACUUGCUGUUCUCAUUAUCUUCGUCAGCCCUGAGUUAGCCCUGAUGCUACACACAAACUGCAAUAACACGUGAACGACAGAUCUUGUCUUUAGAUUCUAUAAGAAAUUUCUCUGCAGAGUCUAAAAAUGGGGCCACCUCAUAUCUUAGAAAAGUAGAACCACAGGGCACCACUUGUGGCUUAAAUGAGGUGACAUACAAUGUUGGGGGGCAGAAGACGAUCCCCCAGUAUAAAGCACGUGGGCAUGCUGGGUGCUUUUCAAAAGUGAAAGACCUCGAUUUGGCUGACCUAAAUCCAAAUCCACCCAAGAAAGGAAAUAAGGCUUAGAAUCAAGGUCCCUCUAUAACCUUAUCUUGUUUCUUCCCCACCCCUGAGCGCAGGAAGGGACUAUUCUCUGGAAUUUCCUUAUCUGACCAACUAAGCUUCUUAACCAAAAGUAACACAACUGCAAAAAAAGAUGACUGAGGAACGCAACCACACCUGGACAGACUUUUCCACAAGAUAAUGCCUGCCUCUCGCGCUCAUUCUGAUUCCAAAGAGAAUCAUUUGUUUUGAAGUGCUGUUGAUCCUGUGAAUGAAAUACAGUCCUAUACCCCAUAAUGACGUUUUGGUCAAUGACGGACCACAUCGACAAUGGGGGUCUCAUAAGAUAAUAGAGCUGAACAAUUUCUGCCACGUAGUGAUGUCAUAGCCAU